GGACAAGUGAAAACAAAGAGGAGAGGAGUUGAGUCAAAGCUGUGGUUCUCACAUAACAAACUUUUCUGUUGGCUGCUUCUCCUGUUGCCAUUCGUUCUAUCUUCUGACCCUUUGGGAUUCAAGACGCAGCCUGUAUGUUACCACCUACCUGUAAAUCCUGUCUAUCCUUAAGGCUAACAAAACUGAGUCCUUUUACAACCAACCACAGAGCCAUGUAAUACUGCUUCAAAGACAAAGGUGAUGGAGGUAAUGAGUCCACCAUGCUGGGACCAUUCCACUGAAGCUGAAAUUCAGAAGGACAAAAGAAAGUUUCGGCCUGAAGCAAAUAAGCAGAUGAAGUCCAUCAAGCUAUGAACAUCUGAAACGAAGGCUAUUAGCAACUACUAGAUUCAUUGCCAGCUCCACUCACAGUGAGUGCUAGUAAGGAACAAACUGGAGUCAGAUUUCAGUUUCUCUCUUCUGUGGCUGCCAGGGACAGUUAGUCCAAACUGUAAACUAGUAGAGCCGCUGUAUGAAAUAUAUUAGUAGUCUCUUUAAGAUGUAACAUCUGGGACAGAAUAAACAGAAGUGGUUGCUACUCCACGUAAAGAAGCAGCAAAACUGAAACUCCCCACUAGUUGUACAAAAGAGCCAUUAGUUGCAUAGAUACAGAAAUGUAAUCUAACAUCAAUCUUUUUCAGUAUGUUUUGUACUUAUUUUCCCUUCUGUAGUUUAAUAUUAUCCUGAUGUAACACCUACUGUUUCUGCAACAGAAAGGCUUCUAAAAUCAGGUGAAAAAGCAACUCAAUUAUUUUUAAGUUCGAAAAUAUCUUGUGUGAUCAGACCUUCUAUAUUUAUUGUCAGAAAGGCAAUAACUGGAUGGGCAAUUUCAGUGAAGCUAUGUGUGUCCUAUAGGCUACAGAAAGAUACCUUAAGAGAACACCUGAAGUGUUUUGUGGAAAACACCUUCAAAAGUUACACUAUGAAACUCUCAAAGAGUAUUUUUAAUUUCUUGGAAGAAAAUCAACCCCCAAAGCGCUCUAAAAAUGAGGUUUAGUAUUUAAACAAUUCCAAAGUAGAAAGCUCUUACCAACUUUAAAUAGCUCAACUUGAUUUCUCUGCAGGAAACUGUAGAAAUGCGUGUGACUAUAUCUAUGUAUAUGCAAUUUUUAUAUGUAUGUGUACAAACACAAACCAGAACAUUUAAUACUAGAAUGUGAAUAAAGGAUUAAUAGAAGACAUUUUAUUUCAUUGAUGUUUGAUGUAUAAGAAUUGAAUUCAACUGUUGAAGGUGACAUGGCAUUGCAAAUGAGCACCUUAUUACACUAAGAAGAGGAAGCAACAAAGAAACCGCUAUAAAUAAGAAAUGGGGAGAAAAGUGAUUCAUGUAAUCCAUCUCAGGGAAACAUGGACUGCUUUGGACAUGUCAGACUGCAAAACAAAACAGACUGAGAGGCUCAAGUGAGAUAACAGGUCAAACAUGAUUCAAAAUACAUCUUCCUUAAAAAAUAAACUGAUUGAUGAUUGAUGAGAAGCUCGACAUGAGCCAGCAAUGUGCGCUUGCAGCCCAGAAAGCCAACCAUGUCAUGGGCUGCAUCAAAAGCAGCGUGGCCAUUAGGUCGAGUGAGGUGAGACCUCAUCCGGAGUAUUGUGUUCAGUUCUAGAGUUGUCAACAUAAGAAGGAUAUGGAGCUGCUGGAACGGGUCCAGAGGAGGGCUACAAGGAUGAUCAGAGGGCUGGAGCACCUUCCCUAGGAGGACAGGCUGAGAGAGUUGGGCUUGUUCAGCCUGGAGAAGAGAGGGCUCCGAGAAGACCUUAUAGCGACUUUCCAGUACCUGAAUGGGCUACAAGAAAGCUGGAGAGGGACAGUUUACAAAGGCUUGUAGUGAUAGGACGUGGAGAAAUGUGUAUAAACUGGAGAGGGGCAGAUUUAGACUAGACAUUUCUUCACGCUGAGGGUGGUGAGGCACUGGCACAGGUUGCCCAGGGAAGUCGUGGCUGCCCCAUCCCUGGAGGUGUUCAAGGCCAGGUUGGAUGGGGCCUUGAGCAGCCUGUCUAGUGGGAGGUGUCCCAGCACCCAUGGCAGGACAUUGGAACUGGUUGAGCUUUAAGAUCCCUUAUAACCCAAACCAGUCU